GUCGGGAGUCUUGCACAAUGGGGGAAACCCUGAUGCAGCGACGUCGCGUGUGGGAUGAAGUAUUUCGGUAUGUAAACCACUUUUGCGGGGGGCGAAAAAAAUGACGGUACCCCGCGAAUAAGCCCCGGCUAACUACGUGCCAGCAGCCGCGGUAAUACGUAGGGGGCGAGCGUUGCUCGGAUUGACUGGGCGUAAAGCGCGCGUAGGCGGUCCAUUAAGUGUGCGGUGAAAUUCGGAGGCUCAACCUCCGUCCCGCCGCGCAAACUGAUGGUGUUGAGAUUGGGAGGGGGAUGCGGAAUUCCUGGUGUAGCGGUGAAAUGCAUUGAUAUCAGGAGGAACACCGGCGGCGAAAGCGGCAUCCUGGCUUAUAUCUGACGCUGAGGCGCGAAAGCGUGGGUAGCAAACGGGAUUAGAUACCCCUGUAGUCC
rnacentral:rRNA from 1 species